CGCUGGCGGCGUGCCUAAUACAUGCAAGUCGAACGGUCUUUCUAUGGAAGCUUGCUUCCACUGAGAAGAUAGUGGCGAACGGGUGAGUAACACGUGGGUAACCUGCCCAUAAGAGGGGGGAUAACAUCCGGAAACGGGUGCUAAUACCGCAUAGUUUUCUUGAUUGCAUGAUUGAGAAAGGAAAGACGGCCUUUGUGCUGUCGCUUAUGGAUGGACCCGCGGCGUAUUAGUUAGUUGGUGAGGUAACGGCUCACCAAGACGAUGAUACGUAGCCGACCUGAGAGGGUGAUCGGCCACAUUGGGACUGAGACACGGCCCAAACUCCUACGGGAGGCAGCAGUAGGGAAUCUUCCGCAAUGGACGAAAGUCUGACGGAGCAACGCCGCGUGAGCGAAGAAAGGUUUUCGGAUCGUAAAACUCUGUUGUCAGAGAAGAACAAGUUGGAGAGUAACUGCUCCAGCCUUGAUGGUAUCUGACCAGAAAGCCACGGCUAACUACGUGCCAGCCGCCGC
rnacentral:rRNA from 1 species